GGGCCGGUAGAUCAGCUGGCAGAUCGCCUGCUUGGCAUGCAGGAGGUCCCGGGUUCAAGUCCCGGCCGGUCCACCA
rnacentral:tRNA from 1 species